UACGGGGGGUGCGAGCGUUGUCCGGAAUCACUGGGCGUAAAGGGCGCGUAGAUGGCCUGAUAAGGGUGUGGUGAAAGUCCGGGGCUCAACCCCGGAUCGGCCGUGCCGACUGUUAGGCUAGAGUACUGUAGGGGCAGGCGGAAUUCCGGGUGUAGCGGUGGAAUGCGUAGAGAUCCGGAGGAAGACCGGUGGCGAAGGCGGCCUGCUGGGCAGUUACUGACACUGAGGCGCGACAGCGUGGGGAGCAAACAGG
rnacentral:rRNA from 1 species